rnacentral:lncRNA from 1 species
UAAGCAUAAAAAAUAACGAAGACCUUUUACUAUAGCGACGUGCGCCGAGCUCUGCCUGCGACCAUAACAACGCCACGAUAACCCUCACUUUAUUCGAUAUCAGCGAUAGUGCGAUAUUGAUAGGAAUUUAUUCGCACAGCCUCAAAGGUCCUGCACACCUCGUCCCUGAGACCGACACACGACAUUUUUCAGUGUGCAGAUUAGAAAAGUGCAUCCACAGAAUUCCAUUUCCAAGAUCCAGCGUCUGCGCCUCGAUGGAGGAGUGCUGCUAGAAACCCAGAACGGGUGGAGAGGCUCCCGGGAGGAAUGGGGUAGAGUUCUCGAUGAGGGUCCCGGCAGCAAACAGCUCCGUUAGAGCAGAAUCAGGCGAGAUGCCUGAGAACGGACGCUCCAGGAGGAAACGGGUGCCGAAGACAUGCGACUGCUGCGGGCCCCACGGCAAGUCCCUCGCCCCGGGACACCAGCAGGUGUCCAAGAAACGCGGCCGCAGGAAGAAAGAGAUGCUGAGCCAAGAAGAAGAAGUGGCGGCGGAGGAGGAGGUGGUGAGCUCGGCGGCGGUGGACUCGGUGGUGACUUUGGAAGCGGACGCCGCUUCUGAGAUGGACGAGGCUCCGUCUCCUAAAGAGAAGCCAGAGCUUUCUCAGACUGAGAGAGGGAGUGAAAGCACCGUCCUGGUGAACGGCUUGGAGAACAGCGUUCCCAGCGACACCAGAGAGCUGAGCAGCUCUGCCACACACAAUGACUUGAUGAAAAAACCCCGCACAGAGCCGGAUGCAAUGGAAACCGCGAUGCCCGGUCUGAGCGCUUCCUGGGACCAUCACUACUGCAGACCACUCGCUGAGGAGCACAGGAGCGACUCCACGGAGGAGACGGGACAGCCGCCUGCACUGCCUCCGGUUGAGUUCACCACUGAGGGCAUCAUCGAGUGCAUUCAUGAAUUCCUCGAGCAGUUCUACGGGAAAUACGGAAGCUUCACUCCGUUGAGUGAGACCGACGUCCUCGAUCACCUAAAUAAGAUGUUCCAGUCUGAUCUAAAUGACAGGCAAGUUUAA